AACGAACGCUGGCGGCAUGCCUAACACAUGCAAGUCGAACGAGACCUUCGGGUCUAGUGGCGCACGGGUGCGUAACGCGUGGGAACCUGCCCUUAGGUUCGGAAUAACUCCCCGAAAGGGGUGCUAAUACCGGAUAAUGUCUUCGGACCAAAGAUUUAUCGCCUUUGGAUGGGCCCGCGUUGGAUUAGCUAGUUGGUAGGGUAAAAGCCUACCAAGGCGACGAUCCAUAGCUGGUCUGAGAGGAUGAUCAGCCACACUGGGACUGAGACACGGCCCAGACCCAUACGGGAGGGGGGGGGGGGGAAUAUGGGAGAAGGGGGGAAGGCUUGAUAACGCAGUGCCGGGGGGGUGAUGAGGCCGGUGGGGUAGAAAAGUCUUUUUACCCGGAGGGUUAAUGACGGUAAGGGGAAAAUAAGCCCCGGCUAACUCCGUG
rnacentral:rRNA from 1 species